UACGGGGGGGGCAAGCGUUGUUCGGAAUUACUGGGCGUAAAGGGCGCGUAGGCGGUUGGAUAAGUCAGCUGUGAAAACCGCGGGCUUAACUCGUGGCCUGCAGUUGAGACUGUCUGGCUUGAGUGUGGGAGAGGAGAGUGGAAUUCCUGGUGUAGCGGUGAAAUGCGUAGAUAUCAGGAGGAACACCGGUGGCGAAGGCGGCUCUCUGGACCACAACUGACGCUGAGGCGCGAAAGCUAGGGGAGCAAACAGG
rnacentral:rRNA from 1 species